CUGAUGGCGGCCGUGCAGCUGGUGGAGUCCGGAGGGGGACAACAGACACCCGGGGGGUCCCUCACCCUCCGCUGCAAGGCCUCCGGCUUCACCUUCAGCAGCGUCGAGAUGGACUGGGUGCGACAGGCCCCCGGGAAGGGGCUGGAGUGGGUCGCGGGUAUUUACACUGAUGGUAGCACCUUCUACGCGCCGUCGGUCAAGGGGCGCUUCACCAUCUCCAGGGACAACUCCCAGAGCACGCUCACGCUGCAGAUGAACAGCCUCCGGGACGACGACACGGCCACCUACUACUGCACGAAACGUAGUGGUGUUGAUUAUGGUGCUGGUAAUGCUGAUGGUGAUGCUUAUGGUGGUGGCACCAACCCCAGCCCCAUGGAACAACAUCCCUGUGCUGUGUCUCCAAAUCAACACUUCUUGGCCCAGAUCUGA